rnacentral:misc_RNA from 1 species
GAAAUGCGAUAAGUAAUGUGAAUUGCAGAAUUCAGUGAAUCAUCGAAUCUUUGAACGCACAUUGCGCCCGCCAGAGUGCUGGCGGGCAUGCCUGUCCGAGCGUCAUUUCAACCAUCAAGCCCCCGGGCUUGUGUUGGGGACCUGCGGCUGCCCGCAGGCCCUGAAAACCAGUGGCGGGCUCGCUGUCACACCGAGCGUAGUAGCAAUCACCUCGCUCAGGGCGUGCUGCGGGUUCCGGCCGUUAAACAGCCUUACAAAACCCAAGGUUGACCUCGAAUCAGGUAGGAAUACCCGCUGAACUUAAGC